GGGCGGCGAAGAGACGGCGCAUCAGGAAAGGGGCUGCGCGGGCGCGAGGACUGGCCGGUGGGCGUUCCGGCGCCGCGAACCGCGGAGCCUGCAACUUACAAGGACGUUGAAGAAAGGACAAGCCCCCUUUGUCCUGGACGUAAGCCGCAAGUCGUCCUGAGUGGUGCACACCGCGAAGACUGAGGAAACUGGAUCACAGGGCUGGGCCGUGAGCCUUGAACCUCGGAGAACGUCGCAUUACUGCUCCAGCGCGCCGGUUCAGGGCCGCGGGACGCGAGCCCUUUAAAAGGAUGGAUUUGCUUCCUGUGACUCCCUGGAAGAGACGUCUUCACCACCGCACUGCGUAGAGGCCGGCGUCGUCGCCGGCUCACCCCGCUUGCUGCCUCCCCGCACAAAGCCCAGCCCAGGUAGCUCAGGUUAGCUGGAGCCCCGGAGCCUCACCUACAAGUACCUGGCCUGUCCUAGGUUGUGUGGGGACGGGAUGUGGCUUCUGCAAGCCCAGAAACCUGUUUCCACUCCCCCACCACAAAUGGAACUCACCCAGCUCUACUCGCAAGGUUAGGAGCCAAAAAUUCCCAUGAUCGCACGCGAAUUCAUUUGACUUCCGUUUCAGUUAAGAUGCCUUUUCAGCAUUUUGUUGCUUGUUUGCAGAAGGGAGAGAGGUAGGAUCAAGAAUAGUUUUUACUCCUGCAGAGUCGAGUGCGAGACUUGGAGGCUGAGUCCAGGCGCUCUCCCCUCCCCGCCAGUCCCGUGUCCUGGAGCAGGUCACUGACCUGGUUCCUCGAGUGCGACAGCGCAGCCUCAUCGUAAUAAACCGCCUCCCAAAGCGUUGUCAGAUCAAAUUCCAGAACAUGUUACUGGAAAGCACCUUGAACACUCUAAACUGCAGCACAGUUAUUAGUUAGCAAUACUCUUUGGGGUUUCACUGGCACCUUUUCUAACAAAUAAGAUUGAUAGAUGCCUGCUCAAACAAAUUGAAGUGCUUGUCUCAGAUGACACACUUGGCAGGCAUGGGACGUUCACAGGCCAACUAGAGAGCUAAUUUCAAAACUGAGAUAUAAAAGUGUAUCGCUGUACUUACAAGUUACCAAGUGUUGAGAAAUUACUCACUUUCAUUUGUGUGUUUAAUGUCUUUUUUGUUUUUUUAGACGGAGUCUCACUCUGUUCCCCAGGCUGCAGUGCAGUGGCAUGAUCUCGGCCCACUGCAACCUCCGCUUCCUGGGUUCAAGCAAUCCUCACAUUUCAGCCUCCCGAGUAGCUGGGAUUACAGGCGCGCACCACCAUGUCCAGCUAAUUUUUAAAAAUAUUUUUAGUAGAGACGGGGUUUCGCCAUGUUGGCCAGGCCGGUCUCAAACUCCUGGCCUCCAGCAAUCCGCUGGCCUCGGCCUCCUGAAGUGCUAGGAUUACAGGCGUGAGCCACCGCGCCUGGCCUGUUUAAUGUCUUGCAGUGGGGUCAUCUCCGAAACAAAGAGGGAUGGGAAGAAGGUAGGUGCCAAGAAGUCUGCUGGUUGGAAGAUUUCAUCUCAUUGGCGAGAUCCCUGGGUUUCUCCACCUCAGCAGUGUUGGCUUUUGGGAUGGGAUAAUCCUUUCAUGUGGGGUCUGUUCCAUGCUUUGUAGGAUGUUUGACAGCAUCCCUGGCCUCCACCCACUAGAUGCCAGUAGCACACACACUCCUCCAAAAUUCACGGAAAACGUCUUCAAAGUCAAAUAUGUGGCCCCACCUUCAUCUCCAUCCCCAACCCCUGAUUUAAAAUUUGCCACUGGUGAUGAUCUCAUUGGGAGCUAUUGAGAAUACACAGGACUGUGGUUUACACCUGUAAUCCCAACACUUUGGGAGGCUGAGGCUGGAGGAUGGCUUGAGCCCAGGAGUUUGAGACCAGCCUGGGCAACAUAGCAAGACCCCAACUCUAAAAUAAAUAAAAUUUUAAAAAAUUUUAAAAAGGCCAAGAACAGUGGCUCUCACCUGUAAUCCCAGCACUUUGGGAGGCCGAGGCAAGUGGAUCACUUGAGGUCAGGAGUUUGAGACCAGCCUGGCCAACACAGUGAAACCCCAUCUCUGCUAAAAAUACAAAAAUUAGCGAGGCGUGGUGGUGCACGCCUGUAAUCCCAGCUGCUCCAGAGACUGAGGCAGGAGAAUCGCUUGAACCCAGGAGGCAGGGUUUGCAGUGAGUCGAGACUGUGCCACUGCACUCCAGCCUGGGUGACGGAGUCAAACUCCAUCUCAAAAAAAAAUACACAGGAUUGUGGCUCAUGCCUGUAAUACCGGCACUUUGGGAGGCCAAGGUGGUAGGAUGGCUUGAGCCCAGGAGUUCAGGACCAGCCUGGGCAACAUAGCAAGACCCCAACUGUACAAUAAAUAAAUAAAAUUUUUUAAAAUGAAACAAAGGCCGGCCAGCUGCAAUGGCUCACGCCUGUAAUCCCAGCACUUUGGGAGGCCGAGGCAGGCAGAUCACUUGAGGUCAGGAGUUCUAGACCAGCCUGGCCAACGUGGUGAAACCCCAUUUCUACUAAAAAUAUAAAAAUUAGCCAGCCGUGGUGGCAGGCACCAGUAAUCCGAGCUAUUUAGGAGGCUGAGGCAGGAGAAUCGCUUGAACCCAGGAGGCAGGGGUUACAGUGAGCCGAGAUUGCACCAC
rnacentral:lncRNA from 1 species